rnacentral:rRNA from 1 species
UGCGCAGGCGGACUAUUAAGUCAGUGGUGAAGUCUCUCGGCUCAACCGAGAAACUGCCAUUGAAACUGAUAGCCUUGAGUAUGGUUGUGGUAGGCGGAAUAUAGCAUGUAGCGGUGAAAUGCUUAGAUAUGCUAUAGAACACCGAUCGCGAAGGCAGCUUACCAAACCAUUACUGACGCUCAUGCACGAAAGCGUGGGGAGCAAACAGGAUUAGAUACCCUGGUAGUCC